CUGGGAAAGAGGGUGGGGAGGGAAGUGGGCGGGGUGGCUGGAGAAGGGGGGCAAGGACAGGAGAUGGGUAGAGAAGGACAGACGGGGGCUGAGAGGAGGCCAGGCCUCCUAUGUGUCUCAGGGACCAUCCGGUUUAAUGUCCCAGUCAGCUAGUCAGGCUGGUGGACAGUGAGGCCCAAGCCUUCUUCCUGGCCACUUGCUUCCAAGGGGUUGCUGUGGAUUUCAGGACACGUGAAACCAGAGCUUGUGAGACACUCCAGGUGGAUGAAGCGAAAGCCACCUUCAGGAAGAGGAACAGCCUAGCCCAUGUAAAUAAUUCAAGACCGGCUGGGCUACAAGAGACCCUGUCUUUAAAAAAAAAUGUAGCUGAAAGCCCGCCCACAGAGCCCUUCUGUUCAGCGGCAUACCUUGGCAGGGCCUGCGGAAGGUACCCUUUCCUCAAGCCCGCUUUAUCCACCUGCUAUGGCUUCCCAGUUCCCCAUGCAGCAGUUCCCGCUCUGGAUCCUGUUUCUAACAGUACUACCAACUGGCUCCUGCGGUCAUUCCGGACUCCUGAUGCCGCCGGUCCCUUAGUGAGACGUGCGCGCCAUUGGCGUCCGUGGCCUCUGUUUCCGUGGCAACCCAGUAACCAUUAAUUUUCAAUUAAAGGAGACAAAAAGCUGGAUGACAGCUCCGGGUCUGCUGAAGAUGUCAAGAAUCUGUAUUAAUAUACAGCAAGAGAGCAUAAUUGUGUGUCCAUCUUCCAGAGCGGCGAAAAAUGGAGGGAUAAUUACCGGCUCGAAAGCCACUCUGUAAUUUAGUUCUUACUGUCACCACGGCCCUACACAUUAGCAUAAAUUAAAAGCAGGGUUUAUUGUUA